rnacentral:rRNA from 1 species
CAGCCGCCGCGGUAAUACGUAGGGUGCAAGCGUUAAUCGGAAUUACUGGGCGUAAAGCGUGCGCAGGCGGUUAUAUAAGACAGAUGUGAAAUCCCCGGGCUCAACCUGGGAACUGCAUUUGUGACUGUAUAGCUAGAGUACGGCAGAGGGGGAUGGAAUUCCGCGUGUAGCAGUGAAAUGCGUAGAUAUGCGGAGGAACACCGAUGGCGAAGGCAAUCCCCUGGGCCUGUACUGACGCUCAUGCACGAAAGCGUGGGGAGCAAACAGGAUUAGAUACCCGUGUAGUCCCUGUCUCUUAUAC